GACGAACGCUGGCGGUGUGCUUAACACAUGCAAGUCGAACGGAAAGGCCCUUCGUUUUUGGGGUGCUGGGAUGGGGAUUGGGUGCGUAAGACGUGCGUAACCUGCCCUUGUCUUUGGGAUAACUUCACGAAACUGGGGCUACUCACGGACCGGAGCUCCUGCUGCAGGGUGGGGGUUGGAAAGUUUCGGCGGGUGGGGAUGGACUCGCGGCUUAUGGGUUUGGUGGUGGGGCAGUGUCUUACCCAGGCCUUGACGGGUAGGCGGCCUGAGAGGGUGACCGGCCACAUUGGGACUGAGAGACGGCCCAGACUCCUACGGGAGGCAGCAGGGGGGAGUAUUGCACAAUGGGCCGAAGCCUGAGGCAGCAACGCCGCGUGCGGGAUGACGGCCUUCGGGUUGGAAACCGCUUUCGCCUGUGACGAAGCGUGAGUGACGGUAAUGUGUAAAGAAGCACCGGCUAACUACGUG
rnacentral:rRNA from 1 species